GGCAGUGCUGCCUGUGCCGAGCUGGCAAAUAGUCUGCCCUGCGUGUGGAAUAUUAGACAGGACAAGAAGACUUUCACUUUGGCUUUUUUCCCCUCUUAAGUUUAGCUCAUUUAUGCAGCUUUUGCACUGUGAGUGAAGCCGAAUGGGUAGGGCGAGGAAGGACGCCCAAAGGAUGUAAAGGAGAGAGAAGGGCAGAGCCUGGCUGGAGGAGGGGCAUUGAGAUUUCUCUUUUUCAGCCCGCAGCUCCGCGCCCGCAGCCCAAGGCCUGACCGCUGCUGAUUGGCCUGCAGGGGCCACCUGACGGAGCCGGCCAAUCAGAGGCGCUCUCCCAGGAACGCAGGGAGAGCUCGGCAGCGGAAGCCGGAGCUGCUUAGGGGCGGCCGCGGGGCCACGUGCGGACAACUGGGCCCUGAAACAGCUGUAACCAGAGGAGCUUGAGGGAACCAAUCUGAUAAGUGCAGCCAGCUGCAAAGAAGAAAUCAACAUGUCAUUAACCAGUGUAUUGAAGCGAUGGCUAAGCCACCCUUCUGGGAGACAGAGCUUUGAAUGCAAAUCCCAUGUCCUUUACUCUCUUCAAGUAAAUGAAACUGCCUA